UACGUAGGGUGCGAGCGUUGUCCGGAAUUAUUGGGCGUAAAGAGCUCGUAGGCGGUCUGUCGCGUCGAUCGUGAAAACUUGGGGCUUAACCCUGAGCUUGCGGUUGAUACGGGCAUGACUGGAGUUCGGCAGGGGAGACUGGAAUUCCUGGUGUAGCGGUGAAAUGCGCAGAUAUCAGGAGGAACACCGGUGGCGAAGGCGGGUCUCUGGGCCGAAAUUGACGCUGAGGAGCGAAAGCGUGGGGAGCAAACAGG
rnacentral:rRNA from 1 species